rnacentral:rRNA from 1 species
UACAGAGGGUGCGAGCGUUAAUCGGAAUUAGUGGGCGUAAAGCGUGCGUAGACGGUUAUUUAAGUCGGGUGUGAAAGCCCCGGGCUCAACCUGGGAAUUGCAUUCGAGACUGAAUAGCUAGGGUACGGUAGAGGGAAGUGGAAUUUCCGGUGUAGCGGUGAAAUGCGUAGAUAUCGGAAGGAACAUCAGUGGCGAAAGCGCUCUACUGGGCCUCAUCUGACACUGAGGGACGAAAGCUAGGGGAGCGAAAGGG